rnacentral:rRNA from 1 species
UACAGAGGGUGCAAGCGUUAAUCGGAAUUACUGGGCGUAAAGCGCGCGUAGGUGGUUCGUUAAGUUGGAUGUGAAAUCCCCGGGCUCAACCUGGGAACUGCAUUCAAAACUGUCGAGCUAGAGUAUGGUAGAGGGUGGUGGAAUUUCCUGUGUAGCGGUGAAAUGCGUAGAUAUAGGAAGGAACACCAGUGGCGAAGGCGACCACCUGGACUGAAUACUGACACUGAGGUGCGAAAGCGUGGGGAGC